rnacentral:rRNA from 1 species
CCCCUACGGGACGCCGCAGUGGGGAAUAUUGGGCAAUGGGCGCAAGCCUGACCCAGCAACGCCGCGUGAAGGAAGAAGGCCCUCGGGUUGUAAACUUCUUUUGUCAGGGACGAAGCAAGUGACGGUACCUGACGAAUAAGCCACGGCUAACUACGUGCCAGCAGCCGCGGUAAUACGUAGGUGGCAAGCGUUAUCCGGAUUUACUGGGUGUAAAGGGCGUGUAGGCGGGGAAGCAAGUCAGCUGUGAAAUUCCAGG